UACGAAGGGGGCUAGCGUUGCUCGGAAUCACUGGGCGUAAAGGGUGCGUAGGCGGGUCUUUAAGUCAGGGGUGAAAUCCUGGAGCUCAACUCCAGAACUGCCUUUGAUACUGAGGAUCUUGAGUUCGGGAGAGGUGAGUGGAACUGCGAGUGUAGAGGUGAAAUUCGUAGAUAUUCGCAAGAACACCAGUGGCGAAGGCGACUCACUGGACACGUAUUGACGCUGAGGUGCGAAAGCGUGGGGAGCAAACAGGG
rnacentral:rRNA from 1 species